GCCCGGGUGAUGGAAUUGGUAGACAUAGCAGACUUAAAAUCUGCCGGCGGCAACGCCGUACCGGUUCAAGUCCGGUCCCGGGCA
rnacentral:tRNA from 1 species